AACCCUUGUCUUUAAUUGCCAUCAUUUAGUUGGGCACUUUAAAGAGACUGCCGGUGUUAAGCCGGAGGAAGGUGGGGAUGACGUCAAGUCCUCAUGGCCUUUAUGCCCAGGGCUACACACGUGCUACAAUGGGCGGUACAAAGAGAAGCAACCUCGCGAGGGUGAGCAAAUCUCAAAAAGCCGUUCUCAGUUCGGAUUGAAGUCUGCAACUCGACUUCAUGAAGUCGGAAUCGCUAGUAAUCGCGGAUCAGCAUGCCGCGGUGAAUACGUUCCCGGGCCUU
rnacentral:rRNA from 1 species